rnacentral:rRNA from 1 species
UACGUAGGGUGCAAGCGUUGUCCGGAAUUAUUGGGCGUAAAGAGCUCGUAGGCGGUUUGUCGCGUCUGCUGUGAAAACCCGAGGCUCAACCUCGGGCUUGCAGUGGAUACGGGGCAGACUAGAGUGCGGUAGGGGAGACUGGAAUUCCUGGUGUAGCGGUGGAAUGCGCAGAUAUCAGGAGGAACACCGAUGGCGAAGGCAGGUCUCUGGGCCGCAACUGACGCUGAGGAGCGAAAGCAUGGGGAGCGAACAGG